rnacentral:rRNA from 1 species
UUCCGGUUGAUCCUGCCGGACCUGACUGCUAUCGGAUUGAUACUAAGCCAUGCGAGUCAUUGUAGCAAUACAAGGCAUACGGCUCAGUAACGCGUAGUCAACCUAACCUAUGGACGGGAAUAACCUCGGGAAACUGAGAAUAAUGCCCGAUAGAACAUUAUGCCUGGAAUGGUUUAUGUUCCAAAUGAUUUAUCGCCGUAGGAUGGGACUGCGGCCUAUCAGUUUGUUGGUGAGGUAAUGGCCCACCAAGACUAUUACAGGUACGGGCUCUGAGAGGAGUAGCCCGGAGAUGGGUACUGAGACACGGACCCAGGCCCUAUGGGGCGCAGCAGGCGAGAAAACUUUGCAAUGUGCGAAAGCACGACAAGGUUAAUCCGAGUGAUUUGUGCUAAACGAAUCUUUUGUUAGUCCUAGAAACACUAACGAAUAAGGGGUGGGCAAGUUCUGGUGUCAGCCGCCGCGGUAAAACCAGCACCUCAAGUGGUCAGGAUGAUUAUUGGGCCUAAAGCAUCCGUAGCCGGCUCUGUAAGUUUUCGGUUAAAUCUGUACGCUUAACGUACAGGCUGCCGGGAAUACUGCAGAGCUAGGGAGUGGGAGAGGUAGACGGUACUCGGUAGGAAGGGGUAAAAUCCUUUGAUCUAUUGAUGACCACCUGUGGCGAAGGCGGUCUACCAGAACACGUCCGACGGUGAGGGAUGAAAGCUGGGGGAGCAAACCGGAUUAGAUACCCGGGUAGUCCCAGCUGUAAACUAUGCAAACUCAGUGAUGCAUUGGCUUGUGGCCAAUGCAGUGCUGCAGGGAAGCCGUUAAGUUUGCCGCCUGGGAAGUACGUACGCAAGUAUGAAACUUAAAGGAAUUGGCGGGGGAGCACCACAAGGGGUGAAGCCUGCGGUUCAAUUGGAGUCAACGCCGGG